GUGGCAGAGUGGCCUUGCUGCCACGAUCCACUGAGAUCCAGCCCCAUGUCGCAUGGAUUCGU
rnacentral:rRNA from 1 species